UAAGUCCUCGAAGAUAUUCACUCCGGAAAUAAUUCUGGGUCGGAUCUCACCAAGCUUCUAACCGACUGCAUCGCGGCCUUCAAGGACAAUGCUCAGUACAGGGACGGCAUCAGAUUUCUCAAGAUUAGGGUUCCUCUAUAUGGACUCCAUUGAAGAUUUCAAAAGCGUUUUUCUGGAAAUGUCACAGGGAGAUUUGUGUUGGCCACUCUUUGCUUUAUGUUUGGUACGCGACCUUUCUCGAAGCCAAAGAGAAAUUGUUCGAUGCGCACAUGGUUUAUCAGAUGGGUAUUUCAAGGUCCGCCUCUUUGUCUCCGACAGGAUUUUGCGUGCACGUGUGUGUGUUCCGAAAUGGAGGUCUACAGUUUUGUUGUUGAAUAAUGAUUGUAAUUAACCCAUGGUCCAGCUCCACUAUGAAAGACCUGUUGAAGAAAGUGAAUCAACUUACGAAAUAUGAAGGAUACCAUUCUACUACUAAAGCUUACUCAGGAAAAGUUGCUUUGUCUUCUCUCAAGAGCUCGUCGAGGAACAAGACUGUUGAGAUAGGUGAUUCACAUUAUUGGCUCAUUUUCUUUUUUAUAUUCCAAUAUAUGAAUUUAGACAUAAAUUUUUACUUACGGAGUUCUAACUUCUUAGCUAAGGGAGCUGGUUUUAACUUUUCUUACGAAGUGGUGCAGGAAUGUUAGGCUUCUAAACCAAAAACUCAUAAGUAUCUGGUGCUGAAACCCACUAAUGCUGAGGCUCAAUUUGGAUUUACAAGAAGACAUUUUUCACUGUAAAUUGUUUAAUGAGAUUUUAGAGAUGGAUAGACAAUUAGUCUUUUCUACUGUCUGUUUGCAUUUUUCCUUCGAUAUAUAAGAAAGAGGUUUAUUCUCAUUUUUCAAUCUCUUUAAGCACAUACACUUGAGCAUCCAGUUAUCAGAUAGAAAUUAUGUUGGAGGAUAUGUUAUCCCUACGUUAGGACCUGUGUUUGUCAUGGUUUUUGCCAAUACCAACAAGCAGUUCUUUUGCUACAUGGACCCUUAUCCAGAUAUACAUUUUAU